rnacentral:lncRNA from 1 species
GAUAGGGCACUCUUAUCUGCAUGUGGAGGAUAAAUAAAUCUUUAAAUAAAUAAAGCAAAGCAAGAAAAGGCAGUUCCACAAGUUACUUUCUCCUGCCUCUGAAAAGGGCAGAAUUUCUGGGGUCUCUGCAUGAAAAGUAGAUGCUAUGGAAAGAUGACUCGGUGGUUAAGAGCACCAACUGCUCUUCCAGAGGUCCUGAGUUCAUUUCCAAGCAGGUGGCUCACAACCACCUGUAAUGAGACCUGAUGCCCUCUUCUGGUGUGUCUGAAAACAGCUACAGUGUACUCAUAUACAUUAAAAACAAACAAAAGGAAGAAGAAAGGAAAGGAGAGGAGAGGAGAGGAGAGGAGAGAAAAGAAAAGGAAAAGAAAAGAAGAUGCUGAAACAUGUGCCCAGAAGAGGAGUUGUGACUCAGCUGGUAGUUUGUCAAGCAUACAUGAAUCUCUGGGUUCCAUCCCCAGUAUCACAUAAACUGGUGUGCCUGUUGUAAUUCUAGCAUAUAGAGGUGGAAGCAGGAAGAUUAGUUUCAAGGACAGCCUAGGCUACAUUCUGUUUUAUUUUUAAAAGG